rnacentral:rRNA from 1 species
UACGAAGGGGGCUAGCGUGCUCGGAAUCACUGGGCGUAAAGCGCACGUAGGCGGACUCUUAAGUCGGUGGUGAAAUCCUGGAGCUCAACUCCAGAACUGCCUUCGAUACUGAGAGUCUUGAGUCCGGGAGAGGUGAGUGGAACUGCGAGUGUAGAGGUGAAAUUCGUAGAUAUUCGCAAGAACACCAGUGGCGAAGGCGGCUCACUGGCCCGGUACUGACGCUGAGGUGCGAAAGCGUGGGGAGCAAACAGG